ACCAUUCCAAAAUUCUCCCUUCCCAAUCAGAGAGAGAGAGUGCAAAGCUUCUCCCAAAAUCUCAGCAGCUUGAGCCUGCAGCCAACGCCCAACCCCAACGAAACGGAAAAUAAAUCCCCAUUGGCUGAUUUCUGUUGGCUUUUUGCUGCUAACACUAGCCACUCCAGCCGCUAAGCCGACUUCUAGCCUUCAAUUUCAAAGGCGUAAAGCUCCAAGACUCACAAACUUCCAUUACUAUCGUGUGGACCUCUAUUUUCAAGUCCUUGAUACACAAUUAAAGGAAUUGAAUGAUCGCUUCAAUGAGGUAAACACCGA